rnacentral:lncRNA from 1 species
UGCUGCAGCAAUUGCCAAAGCCUUCUUAUCUUCUUCUGCAUCUUCUUCUUCUUCUAAGGAAGCAGCCAGUCACUCACUGAUCAGACACACAUCCACGAGCAGGAGCAGCAGCAGCAGCAGUGCUUGCGGGUAACAUCAGCAGCAAGAGGUAGAUGAUAAGCACGGAGACGGACACUCUUCUUCUCUAAGCGGACGCCUUGUCGAACUUGAGGGGCUUCACCACCUCCCAGGUGAAGUCGGUGUCGUCGCGCCCGAAGUGACCGUAGGCCGCGGUCUUGAUGAACCUGUUGCCGCCCUUCUUGAGGUCGAGGUUGAUGGUGAUCAUCCCGGGCCUGAAGUCGAAGUUCUCCUUCACGAUCUUGAGGAUCUCCUUGUCGGGGAUCUUGCCGGUGCCGUACGAGUCGACG